rnacentral:rRNA from 1 species
UACGAAGGGUGCAAGCGUUACUCGGAAUUACUGGGCGUAAAGCGUGCGUAGGUGGUUUGUUAAGUCUGUUGUGAAAGCCCCGGGCUCAACCUGGGAAUGGCAAUGGAUACUGGCAAGCUAGAGUGCGGUAGAGGGUAGUGGAAUUCCCGGUGUAGCGGUGAAAUGCGUUGAUAUCAGGAGGAACACCCAUGGCGAAGGCAGCAAACUGGGCAUCAUCUGACGCUGAGGCGCGAAAGCGUGGGUAGCAAACAGG